GUGUACAGUGAAGCGGAGGCAGAGCGGCUCCGCGAGCUUCUCUCCACUUUCCCAUAGAGAAACCCUGACUGGCCGCUGAGGGCUAGCUACACACACGCCCUCACGCCCGGCGAGCCCGCGAGGUCACUAUCAUAUGACAAAGGCUUUGCCGCAGUUCAUCUUCCUCCCUGUGUACUUUCCAUUUGCCUUCCUGGGUAAGUAUGCAAACUGUUCGUACAGGGAAGCAGGAUGACAAUUAGUAAUGACAUAAGGGUCUUUAUUGUUCACAGAGGAAGAUGCUUUAUUGGGGUUACAGCACCCCAGAAACCUUGUCUCACUGAGUUUCCCACAGCAUAAGUCAGUUUAUGAUUCUUAGUGUUUAGAAUUCAGCUGUGGGUUAUUAUUAAGAUAGUAAAUAUUCAUUUUGUGUUUAUCUACAAGUAAUUGUCGUUUCAAAACUUAUUCUCAAAUAGACAUUUUAAUUUAUAAUGAAAUUUUACAUGGCAUUGAAGGUCUAGUAAAUUUAAUGCUAGACAAUACUAUAGGAAGAGUGCAGUGUAUGAGUGG
rnacentral:lncRNA from 1 species